rnacentral:rRNA from 1 species
UUAAGUGACUAAGCGUACACGGUGGAUGCCCUGGCAGUCAGAGGCGAUGAAGGACGUGCUAAUCUGCGAUAAGCGUCGGUAAGGUGAUAUGAACCGUUAUAACCGGCGAUUUCCGAAUGGGGAAACCCAGUGUGUUUCGACACACUAUCAUUAACUGAAUCCAUAGGUUAAUGAGGCGAACCGGGGGAACUGAAACAUCUAAGUACCCCGAGGAAAAGAAAUCAACCGAGAUUCCCCCAGUAGCGGCGAGCGAACGGGGAGCAGCCCAGAGCCUGAAUCAGUGUGUGUGUUAGUGGAAGCGUCUGGAAAGGCGCGCGAUACAGGGUGACAGCCCCGUACACAAAAAUGCACAUACUGUGAGCUCGAUGAGUAGGGCGGGACACGUGGUAUCCUGUCUGAAUAUGGGGGGACCAUCCUCCAAGGCUAAAUACUCCUGACUGACCGAUAGUGAACCAGUACCGUGAGGGAAAGGCGAAAAGAACCCCGGCGAGGGGAGUGAAAAAGAACCUGAAACCGUGUACGUACAAGCAGUGGGAGCCUCUUUAUGGGGUGACUGCGUACCUUUUGUAUAAUGGGUCAGCGACUUAUAUUCUGUAGCAAGGUUAACCGAAUAGGGGAGCCGAAGGGAAACCGAGUCUUAACUGGGCGUUAAGUUGCAGGGUAUAGACCCGAAACCCGGUGAUCUAGCCAUGGGCAGGUUGAAGGUUGGGUAACACUAACUGGAGGACCGAACCGACUAAUGUUGAAAAAUUAGCGGAUGACUUGUGGCUGGGGGUGAAAGGCCAAUCAAACCGGGAGAUAGCUGGUUCUCCCCGAAAGCUAUUUAGGUAGCGCCUCGUGAAUUCAUCUCCGGGGGUAGAGCACUGUUUCGGCAAGGGGGUCAUCCCGACUUACCAACCCGAUGCAAACUGCGAAUACCGGAGAAUGUUAUCACGGGAGACACACGGCGGGUGCUAACGUCCGUCGUGAAGAGGGAAACAACCCAGACCGCCAGCUAAGGUCCCAAAGUCAUGGUUAAGUGGGAAACGAUGUGGGAAGGCCCAGACAGCCAGGAUGUUGGCUUAGAAGCAGCCAUCAUUUAAAGAAAGCGUAAUAGCUCACUGGUCGAGUCGGCCUGCGCGGAAGAUGUAACGGGGCUAAACCAUGCACCGAAGCUGCGGCAGCGACGCUGAUGCGUUGUUGGGUAGGGGAGCGUUCUGUAAGCCUGCGAAGGUGUGCUGUGAGGCAUGCUGGAGGUAUCAGAAGUGCGAAUGCUGACAUAAGUAACGAUAAAGCGGGUGAAAAGCCCGCUCGCCGGAAGACCAAGGGUUCCUGUCCAACGUUAAUCGGGGCAGGGUGAGUCGACCCCUAAGGCGAGGCCGAAAGGCGUAGUCGAUGGGAAACAGGUUAAUAUUCCUGUACUUGGUGUUACUGCGAAGGGGGGACGGAGAAGGCUAUGUUGGCCGGGCGACGGUUGUCCCGGUUUAAGCGUGUAGGCUGGUUUUCCAGGCAAAUCCGGAAAAUCAAGGCUGAGGCGUGAUGACGAGGCACUACGGUGCUGAAGCAACAAAUGCCCUGCUUCCAGGAAAAGCCUCUAAGCAUCAGGUAACAUCAAAUCGUACCCCAAACCGACACAGGUGGUCAGGUAGAGAAUACCAAGGCGCUUGAGAGAACUCGGGUGAAGGAACUAGGCAAAAUGGUGCCGUAACUUCGGGAGAAGGCACGCUGAUAUGUAGGUGAAGCGACUUGCUCGUGGAGCUGAAAUCAGUCGAAGAUACCAGCUGGCUGCAACUGUUUAUUAAAAACACAGCACUGUGCAAACACGAAAGUGGACGUAUACGGUGUGACGCCUGCCCGGUGCCGGAAGGUUAAUUGAUGGGGUCAGCGCAAGCGAAGCUCUUGAUCGAAGCCCCGGUAAACGGCGGCCGUAACUAUAACGGUCCUAAGGUAGCGAAAUUCCUUGUCGGGUAAGUUCCGACCUGCACGAAUGGCGUAAUGAUGGCCAGGCUGUCUCCACCCGAGACUCAGUGAAAUUGAACUCGCUGUGAAGAUGCAGUGUACCCGCGGCAAGACGGAAAGACCCCGUGAACCUUUACUAUAGCUUGACACUGAACAUUGAGCCUUGAUGUGUAGGAUAGGUGGGAGGCUUUGAAGUGUGGACGCCAGUCUGCAUGGAGCCGGCCUUGAAAUACCACCCUUUAAUGUUUGAUGUUCUAACGUGGACCCGUGAUCCGGGUUGCGGACAGUGUCUGGUGGGUAGUUUGACUGGGGCGGUCUCCUCCUAAAGAGUAACGGAGGAGCACGAAGGUUGGCUAAUCCUGGUCGGACAUCAGGAGGUUAGUGCAAUGGCAUAAGCCAGCUUGACUGCGAGCGUGACGGCGCGAGCAGGUGCGAAAGCAGGUCAUAGUGAUCCGGUGGUUCUGAAUGGAAGGGCCAUCGCUCAACGGAUAAAAGGUACUCCGGGGAUAACAGGCUGAUACCGCCCAAGAGUUCAUAUCGACGGCGGUGUUUGGCACCUCGAUGUCGGCUCAUCACAUCCUGGGGCUGAAGUAGGUCCCAAGGGUAUGGCUGUUCGCCAUUUAAAGUGGUACGCGAGCUGGGUUUAGAACGUCGUGAGACAGUUCGGUCCCUAUCUGCCGUGGGCGCUGGAGAACUGAGGGGGGCUGCUCCUAGUACGAGAGGACCGGAGUGGACGCAUCACUGGUGUUCGGGUUGUCAUGCCAAUGGCACUGCCCGGUAGCUAAAUGCGGAAGAGAUAAGUGCUGAAAGCAUCUAAGCACGAAACUUGCCCCGAGAUGAGUUCUCCCUGACUCCUUGAGAGUCCUGAAGGAACGUUGAAGACGACGACGUUGAUAGGCCGGGUGUGUAAGCGCAGCGAUGCGUUGAGCUAACCGGUACUAAUGAACCGUGAGGCUUAACCU